CUAUAAGGAAAAAGGCAUGACUGGAAAAAGUGAUGAUUUGAUCCCUACUCCCCCAUGUUCUUCCCAUGCCAGCAGCCUGGCUCUCUCCCCAGGGGAACGCUCUCCAGACUGCCAUUUCCAAAGGCAGGUUAAAAUGGACCAAAGUCUUACGAAAAUGAUACUGUUAUGGGAAGAAGUAGUUAAGUCAGAGGGAAAAAUGCAGGAAGAAUGUCUGGAUGAAAAGAACAUAGCCAUUGAUUUGAAAACGAGCAAAUGUUGAAAAUAUUGCCAGUGUUUCUCCACUUACCCCUACAAAGCCAUAAGAGGUUGCCAAGGACACCUUGGAUGGGCUCUGCCAGCACACAGCUCUUUGCUCUUUCCUUGGCGGUUUGUGACACGACUGAGGGGUGACCCAGCAGCAGCAGUGAGGAGAGCACCCUUGCCACCUGCUUGGGCCUUUGUGUGGACACACUGGGAAGACUAGGAAUUGCUCAACCACCGUGGAGCCUGGAACACGAGUGCUCUCCACCUGUGAAGUUGCACUGCAGCUAUCAUGAGAAAUGAAACAAUGCUCUUCAUCCUGGUUCCUGGAAAAAGACAGAAAUAUGGUAUUUCACCAGAAAAGUCUGUCCAAGUAGGAACUGCAAGGCGACUGCCCUGCCUGGGGAAAGAAAUUGGCAGCAGCUAGGCAUUUUUAGAUCCUGUCUGGAAGGGAGGCUGAAGUGUGUGCAGCUGCACUCAUCAUAAUAGUGCUGCCCUGGCAGCAGCUGCAAGCAAGGGAAGUCCUGUGUGCACCUUGUGUGCAGUGAAUGAAGAUGACAAGAGCAGGGGUAAGACCACGCCUUUGUAUUUUUGCUUUGCUUUCUUGCUUUCCUUCAAUAUAUUUUCUAGCUGGAAUGACUUACAAUGUUUUAGACAGUAGCUAUUAAUAACAGGUCCUUUUUCUCAUCCUUCUCACCUAAGUUGCUUUGAAGAGCAGAUGCCCUUUGAAGGCAGAACAAGCUACCACCUAAGCCACGCUUGCUUGUUUCGACCAACUGGCAGGCCAUGUCUUGUCUGUCACAGCUUCACUGCUGCAACACUGAAUCUACUUAGAGAGCAUUAAGUCUGGGAGUGCAAGCCAGAUCUUUGUCUUGCUUGGCCAUGCUGCCACCCAGAGGGGCCUGGGCAAUCUAGAGAAAUGGGCUGAAAAGAACCUCAUGGAGUUCAACAGUGAGAAGUGCUGAGUCCUGCCUCUGGGGAAAUAAACCCACAGGCUGGGGUCAUCCAGCUGGAAGCAGCUCUGUAGGAAAGGCCCUGAGGUCCUGGUGGGCACAGUAGGUUCAGCAUGUGUCACUAAGAAGACUAACAGUAUUCUUGGCUGGAUUAGGCAAAGUAUCACCAGUAGGCCAAGGGGAGUGAUCCUUCUCCUUUGCUCAGCACUAGCAAGGCCUCACCUGGAGUGCUGGGCUCAUUUCUGGCCCCCUGGAGAGAGCCCGGUGCAGAGACACUGAGAUGCUGCAAGGCCUGGAGCAGCUCUGCUGUGAGCAGAAGCUGAGAGAGUUGGGGCUGCUGAGCCUGGAGAAGACGCCCAGGGAGUUCUCAUCUGUGCCCAUGAAUACUUGAAGGGAGCCAGGCUCUGUUCAGUGGUGCCCAAUGGCAGAACCAAAGGCACUGGACACAAAUUGGAGCACAAGGAGGUUCCCUCUGACCGUCAGGCAGCACUUCUGUGCUGUGCUGGUUAUGAAGAGCUGCCACGGGGACCCAGAGGCUGUGGGGUCUCCUCCUUGGAGAUCUCCAAAAGUUACCUGGACAUGGUACCAGGCACACUGCUCUGGGUGCAUCCGGCACUCACUCAGUUGAGGGGACAGAGUAAGUACCAAGAUAGAUAUUCCUGUGACUUUCCAUUCUUAGUUUCUCAGCUGUUAGCCUUUAGUUUAAUGUUACAAAGGACAUAUAUCACACUAUAUACAAUACAUGUAUA
ensembl:lncRNA